GAUGAACGCUGACAGCAUGCUUAACACAUGCAAGUCAACUUGAAUUUGGGUUUUUAACUUCGGUUUGGGUGGCGGACGGGUGAGUAACGCGUAAAGAACUUGCCUCACAGCUAGGGACAACAUUUGGAAACGAAUGCUAAUACCUAAUAUUAUGAUAAUAGGGCAUCCUAUAAUUAUGAAAGCUAUAAGCGCUGUGAGAGAGCUUUGCGUCCCAUUAGCUAGUUGGAGAGGUAACGGCUCACCAAGGCGAUGAUGGGUAGCCGGUCUGAGAGGGUGAUCGGCCACAAGGGGACUGAGACACGGCCCUUACUCCUACGGGAGGCAGCAGUGGGGAAUAUUGGACAAUGGACCGAGAGUCUGAUCCAGCAAUUCUGUGUGCACGAUGAAGUUUUUCGGAAUGUAAAGUGCUUUCAGUUGGGAAGAAACAAAUGACGGUACCAACAGAAGAAGUGACGGCUAAAUACGUG
rnacentral:rRNA from 1 species